AGCAGUAGCCGCGGUAAUACGAAGGGGGCUAGCGUUGCUCGGAAUUACUGGGCGUAAAGGGCGCGUAGGCGGAUGAUUAAGUCGAGGGUGAAAGCCCGGGGCUCAACCUCGGAACUGCCUUUGAUACUGGUCAUCUUGAGUACGGGAGAGGUGUGUGGAACUCCGAGUGUAGAGGUGAAAUUCGUAGAUAUUCGGAAGAACACCAGUGGCGAAGGCGACACACUGGCCCGUUACUGACGCUGAGGCGCGAAAGCGUGGGGAGCAAACAGGAUUAGAUACCCCGGUAGUCCCUGUCUCUUAUAA
rnacentral:rRNA from 1 species